GGGCGGUUUCGGAUUAUUGGGCGUAAGAGCUCGUAGGCGGUUUGUCGCGUCUGCCGUGAAAGUCCGGGGCUCAACUCCGGAUCUGCGGUGGGUACGGGCAGACUAGAGUGAUGUAGGGGAGACUGGAAUUCCUGGUGUAGCGGUGAAAUGCGCAGAUGUCAGGAGGAACACCGAUGGCGAAGGCAGGUCUCUGGGCAUUAACUGACGCUGAGGAGCGAAAGCAUGGGGAGCGAACAGGAUUAGAUACCCUGGUAGUCCAUGCCGUAAACGUUGGGCACUAGGUGUGGGGACAUUCCACGUUUUCCGCGCCGUAGCUAACGCAUUAAGUGCCCCGCCUGGGGAGUACGGCCGCAAGGCUAAGACUCAAAGGAAUUGACGGGGGCCCGCACAAGCGGCGGAGCAUGCGGAUUAAUUCGAUGCAACGCGAAGAACCUUACCAAGGCUUGACAUGGGCCGGACCGGGCUGGAAACAGUCCUUCCCCUUUGGGGCCGGUUCACAGGUGGUGCAUGGUUGUCGUCAGCUCGUGUCGUGAGAUGUUGGGUUAAGUCCCGCAACGAGCGCAACCCUCGUUCCAUGUUGCCAGCGCGUAAUGGCGGGGACUCAUGGGAGACUGCCGGGGUCAACUCGGAGGAAGGUGGGGACGACGUCAAAUCAUCAUGCCCCUUAUGUCUUGGGCUUCACGCAUGCUACAAUGGCCGGUACAAAGGGUUGCGAUACUGUGAGGUGGAGCUAAUCCCAAAAAGCCGGUCUCAGUUCGGAUUGGGGUCUGCAACUCGACCCCAUGAAGUCGGAGUCGCUAGUAAUCGCAGAUCAGCAACGCUGCGGUGAAUACGUUCCCGGGCCUUGUACACACCGCCCGUCAAGUUACGAAAGUUGGUAACACCCGAAGCCGGUGGCCUAACCCCUUGUGGGAGGGAGCUGUCGAAGGUGGGACUGGCGAUUGGGACUAAGUCGUAACAAGGUAACC
rnacentral:rRNA from 1 species